CCGCUCUCUUUCUGUAACAUUCUAAUUAUUAGAUGUUUUUUUUUCUUUUUAUCUUUCUUUCUGAAAAAUUACAAUCAUUAGUUUAGUCUUUCUUUCUUUCUUCUUCACAUUUGAAUCCCAUAAUUUCAUUCAUUCUUUCUUUCUUUCUUUCCAUCACAUCUAAAUCACUACAUUAAUACUUCCUUUCUUUUUUCAGUGUCCAUAUCAAUUUUUCUGUAGAGUUCCUUCUAGAAUAAUCCAGUAUUUAACAGAAGCAGAAAAGGUAAACGUGUGCCACGUUGACUCCUUUAUCACAAAUAUUUACCUGACGCGCAUCACAGUUGGUUUGUUGGGUGCGAGAUGUUCCUCGACUGUUCGAACCGUAGCUAGCCAGACGUGCGUUUCGUGAACAAGUCUCUCAGUUAGACUGGAUGUCUGAAAAGACUAAUCUCAGCCCUUUCUGGCGCUGAGCUUCAGGAUCUCGCAGGAUCGCGAUCUGUGCGCUGGUUUAUGACGGGAAAAUCUUUUUCUUAACGCUAGGACACUAGACGCGGAGUAAAAAAAGAAAUUCACAGCAUUUAAACGUUAUUCAACUUCUCGAGUAAAUGAGAUAACCUCACGUGUUUGCGGAUGAGAUCCGGGGCCAUGUUUAUUAACGACAUUCUGCAGAACUACGCAAAAGUUAUCAUGAAAAAGAGCUAGCCAAGUCCUGAUAUAUAUAUAUAAAUGAAAAUAAAUGUUUUAUGCUAGCCACUGAGUACGACGCUGUACGCUCAGGUGGCGAGGAAAUCUCUUCUCUUCUCCGCUGUCCCAUUUUUAUUCUCUUUGAGAGCAGAUCUGGGACACACUGCAAAGGAGGCAAGCUUCGUGGGAAAUAAAGACUAAACAUCGCCGCUCGGUUCAGACGUAACGACGGCGUAGCAGAGCAGAUGAGCGCGAGUCAAAACAGAACAGGUCCGGAUGAGCGAAAGCAGGUCAUCGUCUUCUCUCUCCCUCUCUCUCUCUCUCUCUCUCUCUAUAGCGAGAAGAUGUUUAGUCAUUGCUCAGCCUCUUUUCUACAUCAUCAGAUUUUUCAUCUUCGACAAUUUAAUCCAGCACUUCAGCUUGUCUUCGCUUUUUUUUCCAGAUAAGAGAUCUAUCUAAAGCUUUUAGAACACGAUACGGCCAAAAGUUUGUGCACCCCUGACCAUCUCACCCAUAUGUCCUUGUAGAACACCCAAUUCCAGAUUUAUUCCCCCGUUCCUGUUAUAACGUGCUCCACUUUCUCUUCUGCGAAGGCUUUGCGUUAGAUUUUAGGGCGUGGCUGUGGGGAUUUGUAUUUGUAUUCGGCUACAAGAGCGUUAGUGAGGUUGAGAUCAGGCGCUGAUGUUGUGAUGGUGAGGAGGCUCCGGUUACAGUCAGGGCUCUGUGUAGGACACUCGAGCUCUUCUACCUUCUUCGAACCUGAACACACCGCGUCUUCAUGGAGCUCGGACUUUUUCUGCGCUGUGUGCCACGCUGGAACAGGUCUGGGCCUCUUAGUUCUUACCCAGUGAAGAGAAACUGUAUAUAAAAGACAUUCUAUACAAUUGUUUGCAUCCAACUUUGUGGCAACAGUUUGGGAAGAACCACAUAUGGGUGUGGUGGUCAGGGGUGCACAUACUUUCGGCCCUAUAGUUUAUCUACGUGUAAGGACGGACUACAGCAUCUUCUUACAAUACAAGAGAUAAAAACAUCUCGAAUAUUAAACCCGGAACAAGGAUUGCGGUGAAUGCUAGCGAGGCGACGGGGGAAAAGUGUACGAACGACGCUAGCGUCUUUUAGAUCCUCGUUAAGAAGAGUUUGGGAAUUCUGGAGCGUUUAGAUCAUUAAUAUUUUACAUCGCUCUCUCGACAAACACACACGAUCAUACAGAGAGACGCUGGCGUACCUGAGGCAGGGCGAUGGACAGCUGUCUCUGGAGCGAGUCUUUCUCGUGUCCCAGUUCCCGGAGGCGGAGCUGUGCCGUCCCCAGACUCUCCUGCGUCUCUCUCAGGCUCUCCAGCAGGCGCUCUCUCUCCGUCAGCAUGUUCACCAUCAGAGACUCCAGGUUGCCCGUGCUGCCGCCCUCGUAGCUGCCCCCGAUGCCCCCCAUGCCCCCUCCCAUGCCACUCCCACCCCCAGCAGGCGAGGACGGCCCCCUCCUCCUCCACCACGGCCAUCCUCCGAAAUAGUGGGCAUCACCUCGCACAUCAUCCUGAGGCCGGGACGUGUGGGAGUGGUUUAUGUGAUACUGUGUGUGUGUGUGUGUGUGUGUGUGUGUGUAACCCUUACAGUUUCCUGUGAAAUGUAGAGCCGUGUACUCUUAGAAAGACGAUGCUUAAUGUAAACAGGAAGUAUUUCUUUAUCAACAAACGCCCACCCUUCUGCGAUCCUUCCUCUGACCAAAAGCGUCCUCUUUCAGUCCGCAGUACCGUUUCUUCUCCGCUAAAUACGGACGCUCACGAAUAGUUUGCGUCCUCUCGUUUUCUUCAAUCAUCCAUUUAAGAAAAAAUUAACUGAAUAAAAACACGUAGUCUUUUCUGUUUAAUCGGUCUUUGUCCGGAACGCCCCCGAGCUCCUUGGUUUGGGUGAAGUUUGGGGUGGAGAAAGAGGGCGUGGUCCAGAUAAACCAGUAGGAGAAUCUAGGAGGGCGGUUGGGUUGUGGGGGAGGGGCAGGAGAGGUGGGCGGGGCAUAAACCAGGGCGGUCAAACCCUCUAGGGAUGAUCAGCUACAAGAGCGCUGUGGAGAAGAGGAAGAAAGAGAACAAGUUAGUACAACAGCUAGUCUCAGUGAAAGAGGCGUGCAUUCUGUUCCAGAUAAAGCCCACACUUACAGUUUAGUCAGAAUGGUUUAAGGAUUUUUAGGCCGCUUUUCUUCUCCUGAUUUGAAAGCAGGCCGCAGUCGAGGCGGAGGCGAUAAAACUCAUCACCGAGAACACAAAUCCAUAUCUAUUUUGGUCCUCUCUCUCUCUCUCUCUCUCUCUCUCUCUCCAUCACACACCUCUAAACCCGUCAAAUGAUUUACCAAUAGCGUUUUCUUUCUCCCUUCAAAUUUUUUUUUUAAAAAUCCGAAUGAUU
ensembl:lncRNA